CCCUUAGAUGUCCGGGGCCGCACGCGCGCUACACUGAAGGAAUCAGCGUGGCUUUCUCCCUGACCCGUAAGGGUUGGGAAACCCGUUGAAUCUCCUUCGUGAUAGGGAUUGGGGCUUGAAAUUGUUCCCCAUGAACGAGGAAUUCCCAGUAAGCGCGAGUCAUAAGCUCGCGUUGAUUACGUCCCUGCCCUUUGUACACACCGCCCGUCGCUACUACCGAUUGAACGGUUUAGUGAGGGCCUCGGAUUGGUCUCGGCCCGCUCUUUACCGGGCGGCGCCGUUGGUCGAGAAGACGCUCGAACUUGAUCGUUUAGAGGAAGUAAAAGUCGUAACA
rnacentral:rRNA from 1 species